GAUGAAGAACGCAGCGAAAUGCGAUAAGUAGUGUGAAUUGCAGAAUUCAGUGAAUCAUCGAAUCUUUGAACGCACAUUGCGCCCCUUGGUAUCCCGAGGGGCAUGCCUGUUCGAGCGUCAUUUCACCACUCAAGCCUGGCUUGGUGUUGGGCGACGUCCCCUUUGGGGACGCGCCUCGAAACGCUCGGCGGCGUGGCACCGGCUUUAAGCGUAGCAGAAUCUUUCGCUUUUGAAGUCGGGGCCCCGUCUGCCGGAAGACCUACUCGCAAGGUUGACCUCGGAUCAGGCAGGGAUACCCGCUGAACUUAAGCAUAUCAAUAAGCGGAGGA
rnacentral:misc_RNA from 1 species